UACGUAGGGUGCAGGCGUUAAUCGGAAUUACUGGGCGUAAAGCGUGCGCAGGCGGUUUGCUAAGAGGGAUGUGAAAUCCCCGGGCUUAACCUGGGAACUGCGUUUCUAACUGGCAGGCUUGAGUGUGGCAGAGGGGGGUGGAAUUCCACGUGUAGCAGUGAAAUGCGUAGAGAUGUGGAGGAACACCGAUGGCGAAGGCAGCCCCCUGGGCUAACACUGACGCUCAUGCACGAAAGCGUGGGGAGCAAACAGG
rnacentral:rRNA from 1 species